rnacentral:misc_RNA from 1 species
UCACUGAAUGUGUACAGAAAGGUAAAGGUGGUGUCUUGCCUGAUGAAAUUAAGGGGUUGACUGUAAUUUCUAUUGAAAAAGAAAUUUCUGAUGGGAGUGAAGAAAUGAUCAGCUUGAAGUUUAAGGAAGUGACUGAUGCUGUAGAGCGUUGUACAGGGGAUGGAAUUGUAGUGAAUUAUGGUGAAUUGAAGGUGUUUAUUGAUGAUGGGUCAGUGAGCUAUAUCGUUUCUAAGAUCACAAAAUUGGUGCAACUAAAUUGUGGGAAACUGUGGUUAGUUGGAGCAGCAGCAAGUUAUGACAUUUAUUUGAAGUUCUUGGCUCGGUUUCCUACAAUUCAGAAAGACUGGGAUAUACAUGUGCUGCCUAUUACUUCAUCCACUCUUCCAAUUGGAGGACUAUCUUCCAGAUCCAGCUUGAUGGGGUCAUUUGUUCCUUUUGGUGGGUUUUUUUACCACAUCAUCUGAG